GACGAACCGAGCGAACGUUAUUCGGAAUCACUGGGCUUAAAGGGUGCGUAGGCGGGCCGUAAAGUCAGGGGUGAAAUCCUCCAGCUCAACUGGAGAAGUGCCUCUGAUACUCGCGGCCUCGAGGGAGGUAGGGGCGUGCGGAACUUCCGGUGGAGCGGUGAAAUGCGUAGAUAUCGGAAGGAACACCAGUGGCGAAAGCGGCGCGCUGGACCUCUUCUGACGCUGAGGCACGAAAGCCAGGGGAGCAAACGGG
rnacentral:rRNA from 1 species